CGAUUUUUCUACUACAAUUGUUUUUUUUUUCUAUUAAGAGAAACUUACUUCAUUAAGCAGUUGAAAAGUCAUAUCCAAGGAUAAUAACUUCAUAAAUCGAAAUAGUUUCCUUUUAACGUUCUAACAACUAAAAAUUCAAAAGAUAAACGUCGUUCCGUUUAUCAAUCUGAUUAUCUUGACAUACGUUUAAAACGUACCAUGAGUGAUGAAGAGUCAGAAAUUAAUAAUGAAAUCGAAAAUGAGGAACAAGUUGAGUCGGAAGAACAAGAGAAUGAUAUUAAUAAUGAUGAUG